AGUGAACGCUGGCGGUAGGCCUAACACAUGCAAGUCGAACGGCAGCACAGUAAGAGCUUGCUCUUACGGGUGGCGAGUGGCGGACGGGUGAGGAAUACAUCGGAAUCUACUUUUUCGUGGGGGAUCACGUAGGGAAACUUACGCUAAUACCGCAUACGACCUACGGGUGAAAGCAGGGGAUCUUCGGACCUUGCGCGAUUGAAUGAGCCGAUGUCGGAUUAGCUAGUUGGCGGGGUAAAGGCCCACCAAGGCGACGAUCCGUAGCCGGUCUGAGAGGAUGGUCGGCCACACUGGAACUGAGACACGGUCCAGACUCCUACGGGAGGCAGCAGUGGGGAAUAUUGGACAAUGGGCGCAAGCCUGAUCCAGCCAUACCGCGUGGGUGAAGGAGGCCUUCGGGUUGUAAAGCCCUUUUGUUGGGAAAGAAAAGCAGCAGGUUAAUACCCCGCUGUUCUGACGGUACCCAAAGAAUAAGCACCGGCUAACUUCGUG
rnacentral:rRNA from 1 species